AGAGUUUGAUCAUGGCUCAGAACGAACGCUGGCGGCAGGCCUAACACAUGCAAGUCGAACGUGAAGCCACCUUCGGGUGGUGGAAAGUGGCAGACGGGUGAGUAACGCGUGGGAACGUGCCUUUCGGUUCGGGAUAACCCAGGGAAACUUGGGCUAAUACCGGAUACGCCCUCCCGGGGGAAAGAUUCAUUGCCGAAAGAUCGGCCCGCGUCGGAUUAGCUAGUUGGUGGGGUAAAAGCCUACCAAGGCGACGAUCCGUAGCUGGUCUGAGAGGAUGACCAGCCACACUGGGACUGAGACACGGCCCAGACUCCUACGGGAGGCAGCAGUGGGGAAUAUUGGACAAUGGGCGCAAGCCUGAUCCAGCCAUGCCGCGUGGGUGAAGAAGGCCCUAGGGUUGUAAACCCCUUUCAGCGGGGAAGAUAAUGACGGUACCCGCAGAAGAAGCCCCGGCUAACUCCGUGCCAGCAGCCGCGGUAAUACGGAGGGGGCUAGCGUUGUUCGGAAUUACUGGGCGUAAAGCGCGCGUAGGCGGACCUGCAAGUCGGGGGUGAAAGCCCGAGGCUCAACCUCGGAACUGCCUUCGAUACUGCGGGUCUCGAGUCCGGGAGAGGUGAGUGGAAUUCCUAGUGUAGAGGUGAAAUUCGUAGAUAUUAGGAAGAACACCAGUGGCGAAGGCGGCUCACUGGCCCGGUACUGA
rnacentral:rRNA from 1 species